AGUUGGCGAUCCUGAAAUGUCCAAUUUGAAAGUGCAGUGUUUAGUCUAAGAACGCUUGUAAAAACUGGCCAAGAAACUUACACUUUCAAGAUUAGGAAAAACAUUUUCUUGCAUGUACAGUAUGUUGGUCGGGUUGGUGGUGCGAUAACCCGCCUGCAUAAGCCGGACAGAGAGGGCAGCUACGCCGAUGACGGCGCUUCACCAGCGGACUGAGACUCGUGUAGUGGCUCCAUGAGUAACAGAAACAGGGAAGAAGUAACAGGCGGAGCUACUGCAGUCACAACCAUGCAGCUUUAUUGCCGGCUCCUUCAGCCCGCUUUUUUACGGUUUUAUUUUUAAUCUGCUGGAAAUGUAGAAUUACGUGCUUAGAUCCCUAACAGGCAGCACGACAGCCGGAGACAGCGAGUCCCCGGGGAAAAGACCGUCCUGUUUUACUGUCCUGGUUUUAAUUUACUCCUUUACCUUGUCAGUAUUUUUUUUGUGUGAAUUUGACACAAGGGGCACAAAAACUACAGAAGAGGACUGUGCACAUAUUCCAGGGGAUUAACUCUUAACGCGUAAAUUAAUACGGAACUUGGAGCAAGCAAACAUCAGAACGGGCUCUUCUCUUCUUUCAGACUUACCCUGGGCGUGUGCCAUCUCCUCAUAGCUGCAGUUAUUUUUACAAACACGCAAGAUCUUUGGAUUAUAAUAUAAGUUCAUAUAGCAUUGAGCUGACAGUUGAAAGACUUCUUGCGGUGAUACAAUUUCUCUUCAAACCACACCAUCCAUAUAAUGAGAAAGACAGUAAAACAUUUAUAUGUCUGAAGCACAUAGAAAAUGCGUAUGUGGGGAGAACAAUCUCUGUCAUUGCCAUUUCAUCCUGACGCCGUAGUUAGGUGCUGGAAAAGAGCCUAAGACCUGCUGCAUUUUAUAAUCACACCAGACUUCCAUUUUUUUUUUCCCUGGUUGAAGGAAACGUUCUGUAGCUGCCAUAUUGGAGAAAUAAAAGUCAGACCUGUGACAUCAUGGGUAGCAGUGACCUCUCCCCUGCAGCCAUCGUGGCCAUUGCCUGCAACUCCGUGGUUGGCCUCUUAAUUCUUAUCCUGUUUGUCAUCUUGUACAAGGCGUGCAAGGUGCCCUCCCGUCCGGAGAAGCCCCCUGCGCUGGCAAUGGGACCAGAGCAGACGAAUGGGCACAAGUACCUACUUGCCAGACCCUGAGUGGAUGUUUCCAGCCAAUUCAUUUCACAGCUGGGAGGGCUUUCUUGAUAGUUUACCAGCUGGUGUAUUGUGGAUUUUAAGUACAAAUUAAAAUAACACUUCAUCAGAGAACAGACCAAUUAAACUUUGGUACUUUCCAAGAAAGCUGAAGUUUUUAUUCAGUCGGAAGGUACAGCUUUCAUGCAUUCUCGCACAAGCAUACUAAUUGAAGUUGGAUUAUGGUGAGGCAGAGCCAAUUUGGUAGGCAUUUUGAAGAGGUCUGUAGACUUAGGUGCAGAUAAUCGGGCCUUUCAGGUGCAUCUCAGUAUCAGAGGCUAGCAUUAGCUGUAACAUAGCUGGCUCUAGGACUUAUCUGUAUCAGGUUUGUUAAAUUAUGGCUUCACCUAAGCUCUGCAGGCUGGUGGAUCUCCAGGAUCAGGGUUGAUGACUACUGCUGUACAAGAUGCAGGUUAGGUAAUGAAAAAUGCUGCUAAACCCCCACUGCUUGCCUGAAUAUACAUCAUCCAGUAGUUUAUUACCACUAGAAAAGUAGCGAGUGGUAAAAAAUACUUGUGUUGUAAACUUGUCACUGUGGUAAAAGUAAUAAAUACCUUUGAUGGCCUGCCCACCCAUAAAUGUACCAAAUGCAGGACAGAUACUAAUGAACCAAAAGCCUAAAACAGUUAGGUAGUGAGAAGUCGCGGAGAAUGCUGGAGUUGGUCACCACCCUGGUACGGUACCAAGUACAGUAGUUGAUAUCAGUUGUUAUAGCAGCCUGCUGUGUAUGGAAGUGUACUUCUCUUUUUCUGGUAGAAAAGCAAUAAAGUUUCUUGAAAGAU